AUUGAACGCUGGCGGCAGGCUUAACACAUGCAAGUCGAGCGGGGUGAUGGUGCUUGCACUAUCACUUAGCGGCGGACGGGUGAGUAAUGCUUAGGAAUCUGCCUCUUAGUGGGGACAACAUCUCGAAAGGGAUGCUAAUACCGCAUACGUCCUACGGGAGAAAGCAGGGGAUCACUUGUGACCUUGCGCUAAUUGAUGAGCCUAAGUCGGGUUAGCUAGUUGGUGGGGUAAGGGCCUACCAAGGCGACGAUCUGUAGCGGGUCUGAGAGGAUGAUCCGCCACACUGGGACUGAGACACGGCCCAGACUCCUACGGGAGGCAGCAGUGGGGAAUAUUGGACAAAGGGGGGAACCCUGAUCCAGCCAGGCCGCGUGUGUGAAGAAGGCCUUAUGGUUGUAAAGCACUUUAAGCGAGGAGGAGGCUCUUUUGGUUAAUACCCAAGAUGAGUGGACGUUACUCGCAGAAUAAGCACCGGCUAACUCUGUGCCAGCCGCCGCGGUAA
rnacentral:rRNA from 1 species